CUUUCUUUGGAGAGUUUGAUCCUGGCUCAGGACGAACGCUGGCGGCGUGCCUAAUACAUGC
rnacentral:rRNA from 1 species